GCUUAAAAGUGUUAAAUCAGUUUCACUACAAUUUACACUGUUAUUAACAAAUAUGGCGAUCAGUGUCCCCCAGAAGAUGGCGCCCUAGGCGACCGCCUAUAUGGCGUAUGCCUUAAGCUGGUCCUGCCUGUCAUGUUUAAUAUUUAUCACAGGUCUUAAAA